AGUGAUAUUACUGGGUCAAAUGGUGGUUCCAUUUCAAGUUUUCUAAGGAAUCUCCAUACUAUCUUCCAGAAUGGUUGCACCAAUUUGAAGUCCCACUAGCAAU
rnacentral:pre_miRNA from 1 species